rnacentral:rRNA from 1 species
AUUGAACGCUGGCGGCAGGCCUAACACAUGCAAGUCGAGCGGAUGAAGGGAGCUUGCUCCUGGAUUCAGCGGCGGACGGGUGAGUAAUGCCUAGGAAUCUGCCUGGUAGUGGGGGAUAACGUCCGGAAACGGGCGCUAAUACCGCAUACGUCCUGAGGGAGAAAGUGGGGGAUCUUCGGACCUCACGCUAUCAGAUGAGCCUAGGUCGGAUUAGCUAGUUGGUGGGGUAAAGGCCUACCAAGGCGACGAUCCGUAACUGGUCUGAGAGGAUGAUCAGUCACACUGGAAGUGAGACACGGUCCAGACUCCUACGGGAGGCAGCAGUGGGGAAUCUUGGACAAUGGGCGAAAGCCUGAUCCAGCCAUGCCGCGUGUGUGAAGAAGGUCUUCGGAUUGUAAAGCACUUUAAGUUGGGAGGAAGGGCAGUAAGUUAAUACCUUGCUGUUUUGACGUUACCAACAGAAUAAGCACCGGCUAACUUCGUG